rnacentral:rRNA from 1 species
GAUGAACGCUGGCGGCGUGCCUAAUACAUGCAAGUCGAGCGAACAGACGAGGAGCUUGCUCCUCUGACGUUAGCGGCGGACGGGUGAGUAACACGUGGAUAACCUACCUCUAAGACUGGGAUAACUUCGGGAAACCGGAGCUAAUACCGGAUAAUAUAUUGAACCGCAUGGUUCAAUAGUUAAAGACGGCUUUGCUGUCACUUAUAGAUGGUUCCGCGCCGCAUUAGCUGGUUGGUAAGGUAACGGCUUACCAAGGCAACGAUGCGUAGCCGACCUGAGAGGAUGAUCAGCCACACUGGAACUGAGACACGGUCCAGACUCCUACGGGAGGCAGCAGUAGGGAAUCUUGCGCAAUGGGCGAAAGCUUGACGCAGCAACGCCGCGUGAGUGAUGAAGGUCUUCGGAUUGUAAAACUCUGUUGUUGGGGAAGAACAACUGUGUAAGUAACUAUGGACGUUUUGACGGUACCCAAUCAGAAAGCCACGGCUAACUACGUG